GUUUUGCGUGAGGGAUAAAAGUGAAAAUCAUCUCUAAUCUCGUUCUUAUAACGAGAAGAAAGAGAUUGCAACGGAUAGCCCGACCACGC
rnacentral:sRNA from 1 species